rnacentral:rRNA from 1 species
GGUCAAGCGAAUAAGCGCACACGGUGGAUGCCUUGGCGGUCAGAGGCGAUGAAGGACGUGGCAGCCUGCGAAAAGUAUCGGGGAGCUGGCAACAAGCUUUGAUCCGGUAAUGUCCGAAUGGGGAAACCCACCCGCUUGCGGGUAUCCUGCAGUGAAUACAUAGCUGCUGGAAGCGAACCUGGUGAACUGAAAUAUCUAAGUAACCAGAGGAAAAGAAAUCAACCGAGAUUCCGUAAGUAGCGACGAGCGAACGCGGACUAGCCCUUAAGCUGGAUUGGUUCUAGGAAAAUGCUCUGGAAAGAGCAGCCAUAGAAGGUGAUAGCCCUGUAUCUGAAAGGGCCAUUUCAGUGAAGACGAGUAGGGCGGGGCACGUGAAACCCUGUCUGAACAUGGGGGGACCAUCCUCCAAGGCUAAAUACUACUGACCGACCGAUAGUGAACCAGUACCGUGAGGGAAAGGCGAAAAGAACCCCGGAGAGGGGAGUGAAAUAGAACCUGAAACCGUGUGCGUACAAGCAGUAGGAGCUCCGCAAGGAGUGACUGCGUACCUUUUGUAUAAUGGGUCAGCGACUUACUGUUCGUGGCAAGCUUAACCGUAUAGGGGAGGCGAAGGGAAACCGAGUCUGAUAAGGGCGCAUAGUCGCGGGCAGUAGACCCGAAACCGGGUGAUCUAGUCAUGCCCAGGGUGAAGGUGCGGUAACACGCACUGGAGGCCCGAACCCACUCCCGUUGCAAAGGUAGGGGAUGAGGUGUGAUUAGGAGUGAAAAGCUAAUCGAACCCGGAGAUAGCUGGUUCUCCUCGAAAGCUAUUUAGGUAGCGCCUCAUAUGUAUCCUCUCGGGGGUAGAGCACUGUUAUGGCUAGGGGGUCAUCGCGACUUACCAAACCAUUGCAAACUCCGAAUACCGAGACGGACUGUAUGGGAGACACACGGCGGGUGCUAACGUCCGUCGUGAAAAGGGAAACAACCCAGACCCACAGCUAAGGUCCCAAAUUUUGUGCUAAGUGGAAAACCAUGUGGAAAGGCACAGACAGCCAGGAGGUUGGCUUAGAAGCAGCCACCCUUUAAAGAAAGCGUAAUAGCUCACUGGUCGAGUCGGUCUGCGGGGAAGAUUUAACGGGGCUAAGCACAGAACCGAAGCUUGGGGUGCAUACUUUGUAUGCGCGGUAGAGGAGCGUUCCGUAAGCCGUUGAAGGUGGAUUGAGAAGUCUGCUGGAGGUAUCGGAAGUGCGAAUGCUGACAUGAGUAACGAUAAUGCGGGUGAAAAACCCGCACGCCGAAAGCCCAAGGUUUCCUUGCGCAACGUUAAUCGGCGCAGGGUGAGUCGGCCCCUAAGGCGAGGACGAAAGUCGUAGUCGAUGGGAAGCAGGUUAAUAUUCCUGCACCUCGCGUAAGUGCGAUGGAGGGACGGAGAAGGUUAGGUGUACCAGGCGUUGGUUGUCCUGGGGAAAGGCGGUAGGUUUGGAUCUUUGGCAAAUCCGGGAUCCUCUAAGACCGAGCACCGAGACGAGCCUUUAUGGCGAAGUCACUGAUACCACGCUUCCAGGAAAAGCUCCUAAGCUUCAGCUUACGCAGACCGUACCGUAAACCGACACAGGUGGGUAGGAUGAGAAUUCUCAGGCGCUUGAGAGAACUCGGGUGAAGGAACUAGGCAACAUGGCACCGUAACUUCGGGAGAAGGUGCACCCUUUUUGGUGGCUCGUGCGAGCUAUAGCUGAAGAGGGUCGCAGUAACCAGGCCGCUGCGACUGUUUAUCAAAAACACAGCACUCUGCAAACACGAAAGUGGACGUAUAGGGUGUGACGCCUGCCCGGUGCUGGAAGGUUAAUUGAUGGGGUCAGCCGCAAGGCGAAGCUCUUGAUCGAAGCCCCAGUAAACGGCGGCCGUAACUAUAACGGUCCUAAGGUAGCGAAAUUCCUUGUCGGGUAAGUUCCGACCUGCACGAAUGGCGUAACGACAGCGGCGCUGUCUCCACCCGAGACUCAGUGAAAUUGAAAUCGCUGUGAAGAUGCAGCGUUCCCGUGGCAAGACGGAAAGACCCCGUGAACCUUUACUAUAGCUUUACACUGAACGUUGAGUUCGUCUGUGUAGGAUAGGUGGGAGGCUAUGAAACCAUGGCGCUAGCUGUGGCGGAGCCAUCCUUGAAAUACCACCCUGUCGUGCUUGACGUUCUAACCUGGGCCCAUUAUCUGGGUCGGGGACCGUGUAUGGUGGGUAGUUUGACUGGGGCGGUCUCCUCCUAAAGAGUAACGGAGGAGCUCGAAGGUACGCUCAGCGCGGUCGGACAUCGCGCACUGUGUGCAAAGGCAUAAGCGUGCUUGACUGCAAGAUCGACGGAUCAAGCAGGUAGGAAACUAGGACUUAGUGAUCCGGUGGUUCUGUAUGGAAGGGCCAUCGCUCAACGGAUAAAAGGUACUCCGGGGAUAACAGGCUGAUACCGCCCAAGAGUUCAUAUCGACGGCGGUGUUUGGCACCUCGAUGUCGGCUCAUCACAUCCUGGGGCUGUAGUCGGUCCCAAGGGUAUGGCUGUUCGCCAUUUAAAGUGGUACGCGAGCUGGGUUCAGAACGUCGUGAGACAGUUCGGUCCCUAUCUGCCAUGGGCGUUGGAGAUUUGAGAGGGGCUGCUCCUAGUACGAGAGGACCGGAGUGGACGAACCUCUGGUGUUCCGGUUGUCACGCCAGUGGCAUUGCCGGGUAGCUAUGUUCGGAAGCGAUAACCGCUGAAAGCAUCUAAGCGGGAAGCGCGCCUCAAGAUGAGAUCUCCCGGGGCACAAGCCCCCUGAAGGAACCAUGUAGACUACGUGGUUGAUAGGUCAGGUGUGUAAGUACAGCAAUGUAUUGAGCUAACUGAUACUAAUGAUCCGAGAGGCUUGACCAU